UCAUAUGGCUCUCUCUCUCUCUCUCUCUCUCUCAUCAUAACUAGAACCUUCUAAUCCCUAACAGAAGUUUUAGGGUUUUUCCUGGGUUUAAACCCCAAACUAACUUACUCCUACGCUAGAACCCAUCUUUCUCUUUUGUUAUUCAGAGACAGUAAAAUUCCAGGAAAACCCUAAAAAGCCACCACCUAAUGGGUCGCUCUUAUGGCGUCAAACUUGUUGCUUGGCUCGCUCGCCGCUCCCCCUCAUUCAACCUUUUCGAAGAUUCUGCUGAUACCGUAUAUAAGAGUCUAUCAAAUGGGAGUUGUAGGAGAUUGAGUAGUGGGAUUUGUAACCCUGGUAGGGUUAUUGGCAGUUACUCUCCCAAAAAUGCUAACCACAAAAACUGGUUGUUAUUGGGAUCUUUGAAUGCCAAUUUUAGGACAACGAGGUCAAUUCAUGGAUCUGCUUAUAUGUCAAGAGAUUAUUAUGACGUACUUGGUGUUAACAAGAAUGCUAGUUCAUCUGAAAUAAAGAAAGCUUAUUAUUUGCUGGCAAAGAAACUCCAUCCUGAUACAAAUAAAGAUGAUCCUGAAGCUGAAAAGAAGUUUCAAGAAGUUUCAAAGGCAUACGAGGUUUUGAAAGAUGAUGAAAAACGUGCACAAUAUGAUGAGGUCGGCCAUGAUGCAUAUGAACAUAACCUCAAUGGAGAUUUUCAUCCUGGUGGACCAGGAUUCGAUAAUCCAUUUGACAGCUUCUUCAGAAUGGAUGAUAUAUUCAACAACAUAUUUAAGCAGAAGCUUGGCGGCCAAGAUGUCAAGGUUGCUAUUGAACUAUCCUUCAUGGAAGCUGUUCAGGGAUGCACCAAAACUAUCACAUUUCAAGCUGAUAUACCUUGUGAAGCUUGUCGUGGAGAAGGUAUUCCUCCUGGGGUAAGACCCCAAAUGUGUAAGAGCUGUAAAGGCACUGGCAUGGUGUUUACCCAGAAAGGCUUUGUUAGUCUUCAGCAUACUUGUAACAAAUGUGGUGGAACUGGGCAAACUGUAUCGAGUUUUUGCAGAUCAUGCAAUGGUGGUAAAGUAGUGAGAGGAACAAAGUCUGUCAAAUUGGAUAUUAUGCCAGGAGUGGAUGACAAUGAAACAAUAAAGAUGCCAAGAAGUGGUGGAGCAGACCCAGAGAGAAAUCAAUCUGGUGAUCUAUUUGUAACAAUCAGGGUUCGGGAAGAUCCUAUUUUCCGUAGAGAAGGUUCUAACAUUCAUGUGGAUGCUGUUUUGAGUGUUACUCAGGCAAUUUUGGGGGGAACCAUCCAGGUUCCUACUCUCACAGGAGAUGUUGUACUUAAGGUCCGCCCUGGCACCCAGCCUGGCCAGAAGGUGGUCCUAAAGAAAAAAGGUGACUACUGAAUCAUACAAUUUUGAGGGAAUGCUCUGGAAUUCAAUAUGUUUUGGAUUCACUGAGACUCUGGGAGGAAUUCUUUUCAAACUUCUCUUUUGAACUGAGAUGUGGCUGCGUGUUCUUCCUCCUAUUAUUCUUGUCUUUACAUCAUCGAUGGACUAAAUUUAGAAUGUUUUCUCAUUAUGGCUGACGUGGAAGUCUGUUGCAAUUUUAUGUUAAAUCUUGAAUUGUUGCUGCUGAAUUUUGUAAAUCUCUCAGCAUUUUGAAUUGUGGUGCUUCAUACAUGUGUUAGGGACAUGGGGUUAUUCAUUCUAGUAAUCGUCUGUUUUAAUUUGUACUCGAGUGAAUAAUAAUUUGUCUCUGUGUGUAUCAACAGGGAUUAAAGCUCGCAGCUCUUACUCUUUUGGUGACCAAUUUGUGCACUUCACUGUCAGCAUUCCAACGAGCUUGACUCCAAGACAACGGGAAUUGAUUGAAGAGUUUUCCAAAGAAGAACAGGGUGAAUAUGGUAAGUGUGCUGCUGGAGCCUCUGGGUGAAAAGACAAGUGCAAAGCCUUCAUCAACCGUCUCAGGGUCUGCAAGACAAUAUAAAAGAAAAGGGAUACAGAAUAGCAGGAAAGGUCAUAUUAAUUAUCCGAUCUGUACUGGAAGUUUUGUAGGGUGAAAUUUAUUGAGAUAUAUGUGACAUUUUGUUUAUUUUGAAGGAAUGUAAUAUUUUUUCCCAAUAUUUUUUCCCCGUGCAGAUCACAAUCACAUGUACGAUAUUAUUUGAGGCCAAAAUAUGAUCUCCUUUCAUUCAA